CGGAGCAGAAUUUUUGAUGUCUGGGGUUUUCUGCUGUCAUUUCUAAGAAAUUUAUGCUAAAAUUAAUUGAGAAACUGAAAUUCGCAUAGUGUCUAGACAUCGAUACGUAAUGUUUCGAUGCAAACGAUAAUAAUACUCGACUAUGAGCUGAGUGUUUUACAUUUUAUUGACUGCGUCCUGAAGGUUCCUCAAUACGAAACCCCGUGUCCUGAGAAAUAAUGGACCCUUUUAAGGUUUUCGAUGACAAGGUCACAGUUGUUUCAGCGGUGAUGUAAAUAAUAACCGUAUUACCAAAUACAAGUUUAAGGCGAACAGCAUUCGCUGAAUCCGAAUUGGCACUUCGUCAAGCUGGCGGCCCUACAGGAUGCGGCUCGCGCGCCCUCGCUAGCACCGCGCGCAACUCGUCACGUCGCCACACUCACAG